rnacentral:rRNA from 1 species
GAUGAACGCUGGCGGCGUGCCUAAUACAUGCAAGUCGAGCGAACGGACGAGAAGCUUGCUUCCCUGAUGUUAGCGGCGGACGGGUGAGUAACACGUGGAUAACCUACCUAUAAGACUGGGAUAACUUCGGGAAACCGGAGCUAAUACCGGAUAAUAUUUUGAACCGCAUGGUUCAAAAGUGAAAGACGGUCUUGCUGUCACUUAUAGAUGGAUCCGCGCUGCAUUAGCUAGUUGGUAAGGUAACGGCUUACCAAGGCAACGAUGCAUAGCCGACCUGAGAGGGUGAUCGGCCACACUGGAACUGAGACACGGUCCAGACUCCUACGGGAGGCAGCAGUAGGGAAUCUUCCGCAAUGGGCGAAAGCCUGACGGAGCAACGCCGCGUGAGUGAUGAAGGUCUUCGGAUCGUAAAACUCUGUUAUUAGGGAAGAACAUAUGUGUAAGUAACUGUGCACAUCUUGACGGCACCUAAUCAGAAAGCCACGGCUAACUACGUG